CACGUAGGCGGCGACUCAAGUCAGAGGUGAAAGCCCGGGGCUCAACCCCGGAACUGCCUUUGAAACUAGGUCGCUAGAAUCUUGGAGAGGUCAGUGGAAUUCCGAGUGUAGAGGUGAAAUUCGUAGAUAUUCGGAAGAACACCAGUGGCGAAGGCGACUGACUGGACAAGUAUUGACGCUGAGGUGCGAAAGCGUGGGGAGCAAACA
rnacentral:rRNA from 1 species